rnacentral:rRNA from 1 species
UUUUAUGGAGAGUUUGAUCCUGGCUCAGGAUGAACGCUGGCGGCGUGCCUAAUACAUGCAAGUCGAGCGAACGGACGAGAAGCUUGCUUCUCUGAUGUUAGCGGCGGACGGGUGAGUAACACGUGGAUAACCUACCUAUAAGACUGGGAUAACUUCUGGAAACCGGAGCUAAUACCGGAUAAUAUUUUGAACCGCAUGGUUCAAAAGUGAAAGACGGUCUUGCUGUCACUUAUAGAUGGAUCCGCGCUGCAUUAGCUAGUUGGUAAGGUAACGGCUUACCAAGGCAACGAUGCAUAGCCGACCUGAGAGGGUGAUCGGCCACACUGGAACUGAGACACGGUCCAGACUCCUACGGGAGGCAGCAGUAGGGAAUCUUCCGCAAUGGGCGAAAG